AACAAAACAAGAUCAAACAGUAAGUAUAGAUCACAAAUUUGAGAUUUUCUGAUGGCAUGGCAAAGAUGUAAUUUCCCUUUUUACCCAUGUUGUGAUUUGUGACUCCAGAUUUAGCUCAAGGAGUGGCACGUGAAAAGGGCUUGGAACUCUAAGGCAAAUCACUUCAAAAGUUAAAAUUACUCCAAGCCUGGAGAAAAGAGGAGCAUCUUUAUUAAAAACUGACCGGACGGACUCCACAAGCUAGGAAGUGAGUGUGAAACGCCA